GAUGAACGCUGGCGGCGUGCCUAAUACAUGCAAGUCGAGCGAACAGACGAGGAGCUUGCUCCUCUGACGUUAGCGGCGGACGGGUGAGUAACACGUGAUAACCUACCUAUAAGACUGGGAUAACUUCGGGAAACCGGAGCUAAUACCGGAUAAUAUAUUGAACCGCAUGGUUCCAUAGUGAAAGACGGUUUUGCUGUCACUUAUAGAUGGAUCCGCGCCGCAUUAGCUAGUUGGUAAGGUAACGGCUUACCAAGGCGACGAUGCGUAGCCGACCUGAGAGGGUGAUCGGCCACACUGGAACUGAGACACGGUCCAGACUCCUACGGGAGGCAGCAGUAGGGAAUCUUCCGCAAUGGGCGAAAGCCUGACGGAGCAACGCCGCGUGAGUGAUGAAGGUCUUCGGAUCGUAAAACUCUGUUAUUAGGGAAGAACAAAUGUGUAAGUAACUAUGCACGUCUUGACGGUACCUAAUCAGAAAGCCACGGCUAACUACGUG
rnacentral:rRNA from 1 species